AUUGAACGCUGGCGGCAUGCUUUACACAUGCAAGUCGAACGGUAACAGGGAGCUUGCUCCGCUGACGAGUGGCGAACGGGUGAGUAAUGCGUCGGAACGUGCCGAGUAGUGGGGGAUAACGCAGCGAAAGUUGUGCUAAUACCGCAUACGUACUGAGGUAGAAAGUGGGGGACCUUCGGGCCUCACGCUAUUCGAGCGGCCGACGUCUGAUUAGCUAGUAGGUGAGGUAAAGGCUCACCUAGGCGACGAUCAGUAGCGGGUCUGAGAGGAUGAUCCGCCACACCGGGACUGAGACACGGCCCAGACUCCUACGGGAGGCAGCAGUGGGGAAUUUUGGACAAUGGGCGAAAGCCUGAUCCAGCCAUGCCGCGUGUCUGAAGAAGGCCUUCGGGUUGUAAAGGACUUUUGUCGGGGAGGAAAUCCCCAGCGCUAAUACCGCUGGGGGAUGACAGUACCUGAAGAAUAAGCACCGGCUAACUACGCGCCAGCCGCCGCCGUAA
rnacentral:rRNA from 1 species